rnacentral:rRNA from 1 species
UACGAAGGGGGCUAGCGUUGUUCGGAAUUACUGGGCGUAAAGCGCUCGUAGGCGGCUCGAUCAGUCAGGGGUGAAAUCCCAGGGCUCAACCCUGGAACUGCCUUUGAUACUGUCGAUCUGGAGUAUGGAAGAGGUGAGUGGAAUUCCGAGUGUAGAGGUGAAAUUCGUAGAUAUUCGGAGGAACACCAGUGGCGAAGGCGACUCACUGGUCCAUUACUGACGCUGAGGUGCGAAAGCGUGGGGAGCAAACAGG